rnacentral:rRNA from 1 species
GUGUAAGUAAUCAAAGUGAUUGUUAGGGAUGCCUAGCAAACAUUCAUUGAAAGGAGGUGGCAACACCAAAAGCUAUGACAGAAGAUAUCCAUAGCGAUCCUAAGGGAAACCAAAUAUAGAAUACGCAGUGAACUGAAACAUCUAAGUAACUGUAGGAAAGGAAAUCAACCGAGACUCCAGAAGUAGUGGCGAGCGAACCUGGAUUAGCCUAUUAGAUAAUAGCAUAACAGAAUACCUUGGAAUAGGUACUCCGAAGAAGGUAAUAGCCCUGUAUGUUAUGUAUUAUACUAUUCAACAAGUAUUAUGGGAGAUAACCUGUAAGAAGAUUGGGGAACCAUCCUCAAAGGCUAAGUAUGAAUGUUUAGCGAUAGUGAAGAGUACCGUGAGGGAAAGGUGAAAAGAGAGUCGAUGACUAGUGAAAUAGAACCUGAAUUAGCAAUCAUAUAAGCAAUUAGAGUUUAUUCAAUGAGAAUAGAUGAUAAUGUACCUUUUGUAUAAUGGGUCAGCGAGUUUAUGGAAUUAGCAAGGCGUAUAACCCUAGCGAAAGCGACUGAGUAGAAAUUCUACUGUGGGACAUAGUUAAUUUCAUAAGACCCGAAACGUGGUGAUCUAUCCUUGGCCAGGCUAGUAAAUAGGCCGAAUGGUUCAAUGUUGCAGUAUUGUCCAAUGAGCUGAGGAUUGUAGGUGAAAGGCCAAUCUGACCACGAGAUAGCUGGUAUGCAAUGAAACAUAUAUAGGUAUGACUCUCUAGUUAGAUUUACGCGGGUACAGCACUGAUUGCCAUACUUAAGUCUAAAUUAAGACUUAGGUUCAAUUGGGGGGCCGAGAGGCUUUACCAUUGGUAGUUAACCUCGGAAUAACGUAAAUUGGUACAGAGAUUUCAGACUGCUCAUGAUAAGGUGGGUAGUCGAGACGGAAACAGCCGUGAGCAUAGAAUAAGGUCCCAAAAUAGUGGUUAAGUGAAAAUAAGGAAGUUAUAAUCCUCACACAACUAUAAAGUGUGCUUGGUAGUGGCAAUCUUUUAAUGAAAGUGUAACAACUUAGUAGUCUAAUGGAUUGUAGCGCCGAAGAUUAACGGGUCUUAGACCACUUACCGAUACUAUGCCUUCUAAUUCCUAUCAUAGAAUUAGACUGGGUAAUUGCACAUUCGACAUGGUUGAAGUAAAGUGUUUCAUUUUAUGGACAUAGUCGAAGAGAUAAUGCUGACAUGAGUAACGUAGAAGGAAGCUAUAAUGCUUCCCGCCGAAUGAGAAAGGGUUCCAUAGAAAUGUUCGACAGCUAUGGGUUAAUACGGCCUCUAAAGUCUUUGGCUAAUGCUUGAGACCGAUGAGUAAAUCGCAGAAAGUCCAGUGAAACUGGGCCAAGAAAAUAAUGUGGUAGCAAACCGUACCCUAAACCGACACAGGUUCUCAGGUAGAGAAUACUAAGGCGAUGAGAUAAUACUAUAUAAGGAACUCGGCAAACUACAUCCGUACACUCGAUAAUAAGGAUGACCAAUGGUUACGAUCAUUGGUGGCACACAAUCGAGAGGCAUAACUGUUUACCAAAAACACAGGCAUCUGCUAUAUCACACGAUGUUGUAUAGGUGCUGAAUCUUGUCCGAUGUCAUGAGUAUAACAUAGGUGCGACUAUCGACACUUAUGGAACCUCUGAUCAAUGACAGUCUUAACUAUAAGGAUUCUAAGGUAGCGAAAUUCCUUGGCCGUUAAAUGCGGUCCUGCAUGAAUAGAGUAAUAAUGCCUCUGCUGUCUCAUAUAGUAUCUCAGUGAAAUUGAAUUAGCCGUGAAGAUGCGGUUUACGUGUGGGUAGACGGGAAGACCCUAUGCAGCUUUACUAUAGCCAGUUAUCGUUCUGGGUUGAGUUAGGUGUAGAGUAGAAGGGAGUCGUUAGACGUCAAUGAAACACCUUUACUAACAUCAAAUUGGAACUUAUCUUAAUAGGAGAAAAUGACUGGUGGGUAGUUUAACUGGGACGGUUUCCUCCAAUAGAGUAUCGGAGGACUUCAAAGGUAUGCUUGUAUUAGAUGGAAACUAAUUUGCUAUGUAAAGCGAAAGUAAGUGUAAAGGCAUAAGCAUGCUUAACUGCAAGACUGACAAGUCAAGCAGAUACGUAAGUAGGACUUAGUGAUCCGGUGGUAUUUAAUGGAAAAGCCAUCGCUCAAGGAAUAAAAGUUACGCUAGGGAUAACAGGGUAAUAGCGCGCGAGAGUUCACAUUGUCCGCGCUGUUUGCCACCUCGAUGUCGACUCACCUUAUCCUCCUGGUGCACAAGCUGGGAAGGGUUCUGCUGUUCGCAGAUUAAAAAGGUACGCGAGUUGGGUUCAAUACGAUGAGAGUCAGUAUGGUUCCUAUCUUCCACACGAAAGAAUUAUCAAAGCUGGGCGGAUCUUUAGUACGAAAGGACUUAGAUCUAUGCUCCUAUGGUGUACCAAUUGUUGGCAUAAAAGCUGGCAUCGUUGGGUAGCUACGAGCACAAAAGAUAAACACUGAAAGCAUAUAAGUGAUUGAAGCUUGCCAGUAGCGAUUAUAAUAGGCAAGAGGUAGACUACCUCUAGAUAGGUCACAUGUGUAAGCACCGUAAGGUGUGUUAGCUUAGUGAUACUAAUUAGCCAUAUUACUUACACCU